UGGCAUAUAGAGUGCUUGGUUAUAGAACUGUUCCAGUAUAUCCAUGGACUAUUUAUUGGCCCAGAUAUGAAUCAUUGCAUGUGUUUUGUAAGCUUGUCCUUUUUGUUAAACAGUUGAUUUCAACAGUUUUCCUUUUUUAUUUCUAAAGUUUGAUGACUUUACCAAAGUGGUUUCCUAAUUCCAAUGUUCUUGUGGUAGUAGUAUUAAUUCUUUUGUUCACUGUUUAUGUCUCACAUUUGAACCCCCAUGUUACCAACAUCUUCCUCUCCAAUUUCAGACUGAAAUCUUUCAUCUUAUAGGGUCCUGGACUCUACUACGUGAAUGAACACGGGACUCGGCUCUCAGGAAAUAUGUUCUCCACUGGUAGUGGGAACGCUUAUGCCUACGGGGUCAUGGACAGUGGCUAUCGGCCUAAUCUUAGCCCUGAAGAGGCCUAUGACCUUGGCCGCAGGGCUAUUGCUUAUGCCACUCACAGAGACAGCUAUUCUGGAGGCGUUGUCAAUAUGUACCACAUGAAGGAAGAUGGUUGGGUGAAAGUAGAAAGUACAGAUGUCAGUGACCUGCUGCACCAGUACCAGGAAGCCAAUCAGUAAUGGUGGUGGUGGCAGCUGGGCAGGUCCCCUCUGGGAGGGCUUGGCCGACUCAGGGACCUGAGCCACGUUAAGUCCCAUGAGAAGAAGAGGCCUAGCCUGAGCCAAAGAGAGAGUACGGGCUCAGCAGCCAGAGGAGGCUGGUGAAGUGCAUCUUCUGCGUGUUCUCUAUUUGAAGUUUCUGGGUGCCCCACUAAGUAGAAUAAAGAAAAACGGUUAUAAAUG
rnacentral:sRNA from 1 species